CUGUUUUGGAGGAGGCGGGGAGGAGGUAGCAGACGUCAAGGGAUCUCCAUCUCACGCUCGAUGCCCACGUACUUCAGGGCGUCAGCCUGGCUGUAUCUGAAACGGCAGGAGACAGGCGUGACCCCGGCCCACCGAGAGCCAACAGUGUAAACGGCCAACCUGAUGCCAGACCUGUGAACACCAUCUGAGGGUGAGCAGGUAGGUUAUUGGCCAACAGUCCUCCAGCACUGAACGAUUUAAGACAGCCCGAGCAUAUCCUCAAGGACAGCAAGGUGGGGCUAAAUUCUUUUCACUCUAUCUUUAAAAUAACCAGUGCUUAUAUAAUGGAAGCUCCAUCCUAACUUCCCCCCAACACCCAAGGCAAAGAAUAGCCUAAGAUUAGACGCUGCAACAACAUAAGACCCAGCAAGAGCAGAGAGUCAGCCUCUGUCCCCAGUUCAGAGUCCAGGAGAAAGCCCUCAGGACACACCAGAAUUGCACUGUUACUUACCUGUAAUCAAAAAACAGCUCUUCACCAGUCUGGAUGGCUCUCUUCGCAAAGAUCCCUAUCCUGUGAUCACCAUUCACCAUCAUAACUAGAAAGAGACACGCUGGUGUCAGCGAAGGAAGGGACAGUCACACAGAAAAUCUGUCUAGGCCGUGCAUCACUAUCACUGGGGGUCCUGGCAUCAGAACAGGAAUUCUGACUCCAGAAACACCUACCUUUUGCAUAGCAGUUUGGAUUGACUGAAUGAUUUGCAAAACGAAUUUUGUUACCCUUACGGGUUGCAUCCACCACAAAAUCUAAAGAAAAAAUAAGCACAAUGCAAUGAAUAAUUCUAGUUUUAGAUAAAUAAACACAAAGUCCCUAUGAUUCUGGAAAUACAACUGGUUACGGUUCUUCGGGGUUUGCCUUCAAAAGCAAGUAAAUCAUUCAGCCAACUUUGUCCAAAUGACAUUUGCAAGAAAAUGCUGUUCUAGGUAAAAUGGAUAAUUCAGAAGAGUUGUUACCUAACUGUAAAUAUGUAUUACUGAGCAAAAUACUGC